CAAUUUGCGGCACUUUUACCUGUGUGCAUAUCAAUCGACUCUGAAAUAAGCCUGCUUGAUUCUUCUCUUUUGGAUCAUCUCGAUCAAAUCGACAUAUCGGAUUUGGAAAACUAUGUUUUUUCGAGUUCACCUAGUUCUUCGCCUAGUUCCUCACCCCCGGUUUUAGAGAGAGCUACAGGCAAGAACAUUCGUCUCUCGACCCGUGAGAGAGAGGCUUUGCUUUCUGCAAGGGUUUGCCCCGCGUCAGCUCCCCAGCGUGCCUCGGGCAAAAACCUGAAUUUAACCGCCCGGGAGAGGGAACAGCUGAUCGCUGCGCACGCUCACAGUCCCGGCUUCGGAGCUCCAGCUCCCCAGCGUGCCUCGGGCAAAAACCUGUAUCUGUCUGCCCGGGAGAGGGAACACGCUCACAGUCCCGGCUUCGGAGCUCCAGCUCCCCAGCGUGCCUCGGGCAAAAACCUGAUUCUGUCCGCCCGGGAGAGGGAACACGCUCACAGUCCCGGCUUCGGAGCUCCAGCUCCCCAGCGUGCCUCGGGCAAAAACCUGAAUCUGUCUGCCCGGGAAAGGGAACAGCUGAUCGCUGCGCACGCUCACAGUCCCGGCUUCGGAGCUUCUCCUCCUGUAUCGGGGCCAAGACAUUCACAGCCCCUGCCUCGGAGAUCCAGUCUAGGUCAUCUCAGAAACAGGAGUAGGAGGACCGUUAGGAGGACCCGUAGGCCUGCCAGCACAAGGAGGACAAGGCAGAUACGUGUACGGCGAGACAGACUUGUUUCCAUUGCUCUCCGAUCAGUUUCGUUGAUCGCUGAAAUAGUUCAGCUCAUCUUGUAAUAAGGUUUUAUUUAAUUUAAUUGUUUUUUAUUUUUAUUUUAUUUUAUUUUUAAAAUAU
rnacentral:lncRNA from 1 species